GUUAGUAUUGAGACUUAAAUGUAAAUAACAAUCAUUUAAAAAGUAGCGACAGUUACGCUUAAUUAUCCCGACCUUAUCAUCUAAGUGUACAUUGUCAUUGGAACAAAUUUGUUGACACGAAGGCGUCUGCAUACCCGCGAUUGAUCGCGAGUCAUUUUGCACACCGAAACUCCGUGUCUUACAUGUAACAUGUAAUGCACAUUCGCUCCUCACGUGAAUGGAAUCAAGCUCUCUCUAUUUAACCGUGAGGUCAACGCCGAUUAUCUCAAGGAACUCAUCUUCUUUCUAGCGUAUCAAGAUUAUCCAAAAAAUAUUCUUCUUGAACAACAAUGCAAUUACUAGACUUUAUAUAAAGUAAACAUCACAUAAAAUUUUUUUUAUUUACUGAAAUAGUUAGCAAUCUUUACCGAGGAAUAUUUAGUAUCUAACGUUGCAAGGCCGCAUGAUCUGAAUGCAAAUUAAUCGCUAAAACCCCAGCAAGUAUAUUCAAAAAUUUGUAUUCAGCGCGCGGCCAAAAAUAGAGGAAGUAAAACG